CUUGAACGCUGGCGGCAGGCUUAACACAUGCAAGUCGAGCGGAGAUGAGGUGCUUGCACCUUAUCUUAGCGGCGGACGGGUGAGUAAUGCUUAGGAAUCUGCCUAUUAGUGGGGGACAACAUUCCGAAAGGAAUGCUAAUACCGCAUACGUCCUACGGGAGAAAGCAGGGGAUCUUCGGACCUUGCGCUAAUAGAUGAGCCUAAGUCGGAUUAGCUGGUUGGUGGGGUAAAGGCCUACCAAGGCGACGAUCUGUAGCGGGUCUGAGAGGAUGAUCCGCCACACUGGGACUGAGACACGGCCCAGACUCCUACGGGAGGCAGCAGUGGGGAAUAUUGGACAAUGGGGGGAACCCUGAUCCAGCCAUGCCGCGUGUGUGAAGAAGGCCUUAUGGUUGUAAAGCACUUUAAGCGAGGAGGAGGCUACUGAGACUAAUACUCUUGGAUAGUGGACGUUACUCGCAGAAUAAGCACCGGCUAACUCUGUGCCAGCAGCCGCCGUAACAC
rnacentral:rRNA from 1 species